rnacentral:rRNA from 1 species
AGUGAAUGCUGGCGGUAGGCCUAACACAUGCAAGUCGAACGGCAGCUCACUAAGAUCUUGCUCUUACGGGUUGCGAGUGGCGUACGUGUGACGUAUACAUCGUAAUCUACUUUUUCGUGGUGCUUCACGUAGGUAAACUUACGCUAAUACCGCAUACGCCCUACGGGUGUAAGCAUGUGAUCUUCGCACCUUUCUCGUUUGUAUGAGCCGAUGUCGGAUUAGCUAGUUGGCGGGGUAAAUGCCCACCAUGGCGACGAUCCGUAGCUGAUCUGAGAGGAUGAUCAGACACACGGGAAGUGAGAAAGGGUCCAGAAUACUACGGGAGGCAGCAGUGGGGAAUAUUGGACAAUGGGCGAAAGCAUGAUCCAGCCAGACCGAGUGGGUGAAGAAGGCCUUCGGGUUGUAAAGCCAGUUUGUUGGGAAAGAAAAGCAGCAGGUUAAUACCAAGAUGUUCUGACGGUACCCAAAGAAUAAGCACCGGCUAACUUCGUG